GUGAAGUUAGAUUCCCGGUCCUCCUUGGCCUGACUCCAUAGGCUCAACUUUAUGUCCAUCAUUUUCCCUCUAUUCUUCACGGUGGGCAAACGCAGAGGCGGGAACAAACUAGCCCUCAAGACGGGAAUAGUAGCCAAGAAGCAGAAGACGGAGGAUGAGGUAUUAACAAGUAAAGGUGACGCGUGGGCCAAGUACAUGGCAGAAGUGAAAAAGUACAAAGCUCACCAGUGCGGUGACGAUGAUAAAACUCGGCCCCUGGUGAAAUGACGCCCCUCCCCCACCUGCCCAUGGCCUGGGACUCUCUGCGAUGUACAUAACUAUUUAAUGCAGCGGCAGCGGCGACAGCCUUCCCUGAGAGGACUUAAAAGCAGAAGGAAACCGAGAUGCUUCCCGCAGCCGUGGACGAUUCUCCAGGACUCUUUUUUUACCUUGAGCACUUGCCUCGUGAGACUUCAUAGAACAGUGGUUUACUGUCCCCCCCUUCUCACCUCCUCAUUCUCUCUGGCUCUUUCUGUCUUCCUCUUCUCACCCUCCUCCCUCCCCUUAGCCAUCACUUCUGGGAAGUAAAGAACUUGACUU
rnacentral:lncRNA from 10 species